CAUCCUCGGUCCCAGGGCCUCACGGCUGACACUGCGUUGCCGCAGUGUCAGCCGUGAGGCCCUGGGACCGAGGAUG